rnacentral:rRNA from 1 species
UAGGGAAUCUUCCACAAUGGACGAAAGUCUGAUGGAGCAACGCCGCGUGAGUGAAGAAGGGUUUCGGCUCGUAAAACUCUGUUGUUAAAGAAGAACAUAUCUGAGAGUAACUGUUCAGGUAUUGACGGUAUUUAACCAGAAAGCCACGGCUAACUACGUGCCAGCAGCCGCGGUAAUACGUAGGUGGCAAGCGUUGUCCGGAUUUAUUGGGCGUAAAGCGAGCGCGGGCGGUUUUUUAAGUCUGAUGUGAAAGCCUUCGGCUCAACCGAAGAAGUGCAUCGGAAACUGGGAAACUUGAGUGCAGAAGAGGACAGUGGAACUCCAUGUGUAGCGGUGAAAUGCGUAGAUAUAUGGAAGAACACCAGUGGCGAAGGCGGCUGUCUGGUCUGUAACUGACGCUGAGGCUCGAAAGUAUGGGUAGCAAACAGG